rnacentral:rRNA from 1 species
UACGAAGGGGGCUAGCGUUGCUCGGAAUCACUGGGCGUAAAGCGCACGUAGGCGGACUCUUAAGUCAGGGGUGAAAUCCUGGAGCUCAACUCCAGAACUGCCCUUGAUACUGGGAGCCUUGAGUUCGGGAGAGGUGAGUGGAACUGCGAGUGUAGAGGUGAAAUUCGUAGAUAUUCGCAAGAACACCAGUGGCGAAGGCGGCUCACUGGUCCGGUAUAGACGCUGAGGUGCGAAAGCGUGGGGAGCAAACAGG